rnacentral:rRNA from 1 species
GAUGAUCUCCCGCUUGCGGGAGUGAUUAGUGGCGAACGGGUGAGUAAUACGUGAGUAACCUGCCCUUGACUCUGGGAUAAGCCUGGGAAACCGGGUCUAAUACUGGAUACGACUCCUCAUCGCAUGGUGGGGGGUGGAAAGGGUUUGACUGGUUUUGGAUGGGCUCACGGCCUAUCAGCUUGUUGGUGGGGUAAUGGCUCACCAAGGCGACGACGGGUAGCCGGCCUGAGAGGGUGACCGGCCACACUGGGACUGAGACACGGCCCAGACUCCUACGGGAGGCAGCAGUGGGGAAUAUUGCACAAUGGGCGCAAGCCUGAUGCAGCGACGCCGCGUGAGGGAUGACGGCCUUCGGGUUGUAAACCUCUUUCAGCAGGGAAGAAGCCACAAGUGACGGUACCUGCAGAAGAAGCGCCGGCUAACUACGUGCCAGCAGCCGCGGUAAUACGUAGGGCGCAAGCGUUGUCCGGAAUUAUUGGGCGUAAAGAGCUCGUAGGCGGUUUGUCGCGUCUGCUGUGAAAGCCCGGGGCUCAACCCCGGGUCUGCAGUGGGUACGGGCAGACUAGAGUGCAGUAGGGGAGACUGGAAUUCCUGGUGUAGCGGUGAAAUGCGCAGAUAUCAGGAGGAACACCGAUGGCGAAGGCAGGUCUCUGGGCUGUUACUGACGCUGAGGAGCGAAAGCAUGGGGAGCGAACAGGAUUAGAUACCCUGGUAGUCCAUGCCGUAAACGUUGGGCACUAGGUGUGGGGGACAUUCCACGUUCUCCGCG